rnacentral:rRNA from 1 species
AGUCGAGGGGCAGCACAGGUAGCAAUACCGGGUGGCGACCGGCGCACGGGUGAGUAACGCGUAUGCAACUUGCCUAUCAGAGGGGGAUAACCCGGCGAAAGUCGGACUAAUACCGCAUGAAGCAGGGGCCCCGCAUGGGGAUAUUUGCUAAAGAUUCAUCGCUGAUAGAUAGGCAUGCGUUCCAUUAGGCAGUUGGCGGGGUAACGGCCCACCAAACCGACGAUGGAUAGGGGUUCUGAGAGGAAGGUCCCCCACAUUGGUACUGAGACACGGACCAAACUCCUACGGGAGGCAGCAGUGAGGAAUAUUGGUCAAUGGGCGAGAGGCUGAACCAGCCAAGUCGCGUGAGGGAUGAAGGUUCUAUGGAUCGUAAACCUCUUUUAUAAGGGAAUAAAGUGCGGGACGUGUCCCGUUUUGUAUGUACCUUAUGAAUAAGGAUCGGCUAACUCCGUGCCAGCAGCCGCGGUAAUACGGAGGAUCCGAGCGUUAUCCGGAUUUAUUGGGUUUAAAGGGUGCGUAGGCGGCCUUUUAAGUCAGCGGUGAAAGUCUGUGGCUCA